rnacentral:rRNA from 1 species
GGGGCUAGAUCUUUGCAAUUAUUGAUCUCCAACGAGUAAUUCCUAGUAAACGCAAGUCAUCAGCUUGCGUUGAUUACGUCCCUGCCCUUUGUACACACCGCCCGUCGCUACUACCGAUUGAAUGGCUCAGUGAGGCCUCCGGACUGGCUCGAAGAGGUUGGCAACGACCACUUCGAGCCGGAAAGCUGGUCAAACUCGGUCAUUUAGAGGAAGUAAAAGUCGUAACAAGGUUUCCGUAGGUG